rnacentral:rRNA from 1 species
AUUGAACGCUGGCGGCAGGCCUAACACAUGCAAGUCGAACGAGUGGCGGACGGGUGAGUAAUGUCUGGGAAACUGCCUGAUGGAGGGGGAUAACUACUGGAAACGGUCGCUAAUACCGCAUACCAUCGGAUGUGCCCAGAUGGGAUUAGCUAGUUGGUGGGGUAACGGCUCACCUAGGCGACGCUCCCUUGCUGGGCUGAGAGGCUGAACAGCCAGACUGGAAAUGAGACACGUGGCAGACUCCUACGGGAGGCAGCAGUGGGGAGUAUUGCAAAAGGGGCGCAAGCCUGAUGCAGCAAAGCCGCGUGUAUGAAGGAGGCCUUCGGGUUGUAAAGUACUUGCAGCGGGGAGGCGUUACCCGCAGAAGAAGCACCGGCUAACUCCGUGCCAGCAGCCGCGGUAAUUC